AUUGCAUGAUGUGGACACUUAACCAGUAGACCCUUGAACCUCUCCCACGUUUCUUGUAAUGGCUCUAUUGGUUUCUGUCCCAAACUCAAUAUCUCAUCAAUUUGUU
rnacentral:snoRNA from 1 species